UACGUAGGUCGCAAGCGUUGUCCGGAUUUAUUGGGUUUAAAGGGUGCGUAGGCGGGCUUAUAAGUCGGCGAUGAAAUGGCGGGGCUCAACCCUGGUCGCUGUUGCCGAUACUGCAAGUCUUGAAAGCGGAUGAGGUUGCCGGAAUGAGUGGUGUAGCGGUGAAAUGCGUAGAGAUCACUCGGAACGCCGAUUGAGAAGUCAGGCAACUGGGCCGUAUUUGACGCUGAGGCACGAAAGCGUGGGGAGCAAACAGG
rnacentral:rRNA from 1 species